UGAACGCUAGCGGCAGGCCUAACACAUGCAAGUCGAGGGGUAACGAUGGAGCUUGCUCCAGGCGACGACCGGCGCACGGGUGAGUAACGCGUUUGUAACCUACCUUUAUCUGGAAGAUAGCCCGAAGAAAUUCGGAUUAAUAUUCCAUAACACUAUAGUUUGGCAUCAUUUUAUAGUUAAAGCUCCGGCGGAUAAAGAUGGGCAUGCGUAACAUUAGUUUGUUGGUGAGGUAAGAGCUCACCAAGACUACGAUGUUUAGGGGGUCUGAGAGGAUAGUCCCCCACACUGGUACUGAGACACGGACCAGACUCCUACGGGAGGCAGCAGUGAGGAAUAUUGGUCAAUGGGCGAAAGCCUGAACCAGCCAUGCCGCGUGAAGGAAGACGGCUCUAUGAGUUGUAAACUUCUUUUGUACGAGAAGAAACCCUACUACGUGUAGUAGGCUGACGGUACCGUACGAAUAAGCAUCGGCUAACUCC
rnacentral:rRNA from 1 species